rnacentral:sRNA from 1 species
UCAAGGUUGCCCACUGUGCAGCUUGUAGU